AGGACGAACGCUGGCGGCGUGCUUAACACAUGCAAGUCGAACGAGAUCUUCAGCAGUGGCAACACUGGUGAAGAUCUAGUGGCGAACGGGUGAGUAACACGUGAGCAACCUGCCCCGAAGACUGGGAUAACAGCGGGAAACCGCUGCUAAUACCGGAUAUCCCCAUCGGACCACAUGGCCCGAUGAGGAAAUGCCUGGUUCUUUAGAGUCAGACGCUUUGGGAGGGGUCGCGGCCGAUUAGUUAGUUGGCGGGGUAAUGGCCCACCAAGACGAUGAUCGGUA
rnacentral:rRNA from 1 species